rnacentral:lncRNA from 1 species
AAUAAAUAGAACAGCAGUCUUUGUCAAAUGUAAAAAAUAUGACCUUCCUGUGCUAGACAUGAAACAGAAAUCAAAUUUCUGCUAGCAGCAGGUACAUAAUAGCAGUCUCUAAGUAAUAAACUAAAACCAGAUGGUAGUCACAGAUGGUAGAUGCCCACAGCCACAGCAGCAACUUUUGCCCCGUUGCCAAUCCGAAGGGUUACCGCACCUUCCGCCAGCCUUCUACUUUUCUUUAAACCCUGCAUGGUAGUGCAC